GACGAACGCUGGCGGCGUGCUUAACACAUGCAAGUCGAACGGAAAGGCCCUGCUUUUGUGGGGUGCUCGAGUGGCGAACGGGUGAGUAACACGUGAGUAACCUGCCCUUGACUUUGGGAUAACUUCAGGAAACUGGGGCUAAUACCGGAUAGGAGCUCCUGCUGCAUGGUGGGGGGUGGAAAGUUUCGGCGGUUGGGGAUGGACUCGCGGCUUAUCAGCUUGUUGGUGGGGUAGUGGCUUACCAAGGCUUUGACGGGUAGCCGGCCUGAGAGGGUGACCGGCCACAUUGGGACUGCGAUACGGCCCAGACUCCUACGGGAGGCAGCAGUGGGGAAUAUUGCACAAUGGGCGGAAGCCUGAUGCAGCAACGCCGCGUGCGGGAUGACGGCCUUCGGGUUGUAAACCGCUUUCGCCUGUGACGAAGCGUGAGUGACGGUAAUGGGUAAAGAAGCACCGGCUAACUACGUG
rnacentral:rRNA from 1 species